AUUAGGAAUCUGUUCUAAACCCUUCUUUCUAGAAGCCUUAUCUUAUCCCUACAACCCUUGCCGCACCUAGCCUUCUAGAACUCCCUAAUUCCUAGUCGCACUACCUAUUCCAAUUCCCACUUGAGUUCUGCCAUUGAGUUAACCCUUUUUCAAUGGGAAAGUGCAAUCCUUCUCCUUCACUAAGUGUGCCAAACUAGCCUAUAUAAACAGCCUUGCCGUGCCACAAUGGUGAAGGAUGGCGAACUGGUGUUUAAGGACCAGUACCUCGAGAUAUCCACCCGACUGCCGAAAGACUCCUCCCUUUACGGCCUCGGAGAGAACUCUCAGCCGCACGAUUUCAAGCUCUACCCGAACGAUCCAUACACCCUCUUCACCACUGAAGUCUCGGCGAUCAAUCUCAACACUGAUUUGUACGGGUCCCACUCGGGUUUACAUGGAUCUCCGGAAUGUCAGCAACGAGGAUUACGCGCACUCUGUUCUGCUGCUCAACAGCAAUGGCAUGGAUGUGUUCUACAGAGGGACUUCUCUCACCUACAAGGUCAUUGGGGCUGUUUUCGACUUUUACUUCUUUGCCGGGCCUACACGGCGUUCAUCGGCAGACCGCCCUGGAAGCUCUACUGGUCUCUUGGUGCAAAACGAGGAGGGAAUCAUCACCGAGCUCUACAUCCUGGGAAAAUGUUCGGAGACGAACUAAUGAUCAUUAAGAAGACGUGAUAACAGAUGGAGGGAAUGAAGUAUUGUUUGAUGACCAAAUCACGAAGCGGAGAACAACAUGGAGUGGUUCUGAUUCUCAUGCCCUGCCACAUGCUCAAACACAUCAGAGAAGAAGUUAUCAAGUUAAAUGAACAAUUUAGCAAUUAGAAAAGUUUGGUAAGCUCUUACUGGGAUGGCAGAGACAGAGGUCAUGGAGUUGGGCAGAGACAGAGGUCAUGGAGUUGGGCGUGGGAAUUCCACAAACCAAGGGCUGGUGUCAGUGGGUGUUAAUAUCAGCAAUAAGCAUUACUGGGAUGUGAGUUCUCUCAACCUUUUGAUUAAUUUUUUAUAUUUUGACUUUUUAUAUAAGCUAUGUAAAUGUUUAAUUUCCAUUUGAAAACUUGGGGAAUUCUUUUGUGAAUGUUUUUGUUCUGUUUUUUUGUGAUUUUGUGAAUGAUUUUUGAUGUCGUUUUAGUAUAUAAUAUGGCUUGGUUAGUUCACCCAAGAAAAAAGAAUGUGGAUGUUGUCUCUGGAAUCCUAUCGUCAUCUUCCUCGCAUGCAACGCUCUGGCCCUUUCAGUUGAAACCAAAACGUGUUUCAGCUCUGAGGAAAAGCAAGAAAAAGGAAGAACCAGUAUUAGAAGAUCUUCCCAAAGAGUACUACGAUGAUGAAAUAGAAUUGCUCUCUCCCUCUUCUUGGCAACCACGUAUGCCCUCUCUCUCUCUCAAAUUCUUUCAUUUGGGGUCUAAAUGUGAUGCCUUAUUGCCUAAAAUAUCAUGUUGUUAAAUGGGUUAUGAUAUUUUGAUUCUCUGCAUAUUCUGCAUAGUGCAAAAAGCAAAAUCACUCUCUCUCUCUCUCUCUUUUGCUUUUUGUGGCUAAAGAUCAUGUCGUUUGUGUCAUAAAUUUGUUUUUGUUGCAUGAGGUUAUGUAUAUCUUUUGGAUAAUAAAAAAGUUUGAAUCUUUACUAGGUUUCUUUAAAUUUCUUUGAAUUCUGCUUUGUAAAUUUGGUUUAGAAAUGUGUAGAAUUGCAUUUAAGAGGAUCAUAAGGAAGAGAAGCAAAGAUCAGUUCUCAGGCAUUCCCUACGUGAGAUGACUAUGCUUAAUUGCUUACUCUCCACUUGCUAUGCUACUUUGAUUCUCACUCCUUCAACUGCUCUUUCUCUCUCCCCUCUAUGCUGUGUAUUGCUUAAUUAGUUAUUUACAUUUGUUUAUUUAUCUCUGUAAACCUUUCAUGCUUGGAUUUUAAACAUAUGAUUCAAUUAGAAACCUUUAUAAUGUUGAUGGUAGUAGAACAUUCAACAGAUAUAUAUUCAACAUUCGGUGGCUCUGGCAAAAUCAUAUAGACUAAGAUUUGUUAAUAUAUGGAGGUGAGACGAGCUAUUUCAUUCCGAACUAAGACCUAAAAAUCUUCGCAAUUCUUAUCCUUUAAAUUUUGUAUUUUUUUUUUUAAUAUUUAUUAAUUUUUUGGUGAUGCAGAUAGAUGAACAUGUUCAAAGGGAAAUCAUGAACCAUGGAUCACUGGACUAUCCAAAUAUCAUUCGAUCCAAAGAGAUGGAUGAACAUGUUCAAGGGGAAAUCAUGAACCACAGAUCACUGAAGAAUCCGAAUAUCAUUCGAUUCAAAGAGGUCAGUGAUCAUAAACUGUUUUCGUUUUGUAUUUUAAGAGGAUGAAUUUGGCAAGUUCUGUUUGAAUUUUUUAUGAGUAUCUGCUGGGGUUGGGUGGAUGACGACAGAAGAUGCUAAAUUUGGUCUUUGGUGUGCUUAAACUGGUACUGGGGAUGGUUGGAACUUUGAACCCGGAAUGCAGUAGGACUAAGUGAAAUGCCCUACCCACCGGGACAAUCCACCACUUGAAGAAUUGUUGUUAAAAUAACACUGCUAAAAAUAUGAGCUUUACUUCCUGCACUUUGUGUCUUAUUUAUGUAUGCAGUUACGCCUGAAAUGUGUCUUAUUCAUGCAAUUACGCCAGAAACAGUGGUUCCUACCACAACGCGUGGGCUUAUUUUCUAGUUGGGCUCUAAAACUUUAUUUUUCUUAAAAACAGGUUUUAAAUUCAUACUUUAUACAGGCAAGAAUUUGUUUGGCAUGAAAUUUUGUAUAUUAAAUUAUUGAAAACAAUUUUUU